UGAGAACAAAAAAGAAGCUUUUUUCCUUCUCUGCUAGCGGAGAAUGGAAAAGAGCUUCUUUAUUUGGAGCGGAAAGCAUGACUGCCCAACCAAAAAUGGGUGAUUAUGCCUGUUGUAUUGCGGAGCGGCGAGCGCGAACUUCA
rnacentral:sRNA from 1 species